UCCGGUUUGUCACCGGCAGUCUGGUGUGAGUCCCCAACUUAAUGCUGGCAACACACCACGGGGGUUGCGCUCGUUGCGGGACUUAACCCAACAUCUCACGGCACGAGCUGACGACAGCCAUGCACCACCUGUCAGGGGCCCUUACGGACACUGCAUCUCUGCAGCUUUUCCUGCGUAGUUCAACCCAGGUAAGGUUCUUCGCGUUGCAUCGAAUUAAGCCACAUGCUCCGCCGCUUGUGCGGGCCCCCGUCAAUUCCUUUGAGUUUUAGCCUUGCGGCCGUACUCCCCAGGCGGGGUGCUUAAUGCGUUAGCUUCGGCACGGAGGGAGUCGACACCCCCCACACCUAGCACCCAUCGUUUACGGCGUGGACUAC
rnacentral:misc_RNA from 1 species